GUGAGAAUGAGUGACUGCGCUGCACCAGUGUCUCGAAGGAUCUGAAUGCUUUUCUGAUCGGCUGGCUUUCCCGUUACCGAAAAACAACCGACAGACACAAAUGGAGCAUAGACGGGAUCUGGGUUUACUGCAUCCACAGAGACAACCAAUGUGCCUGGUAAACGAGGCACAGUCUGAACGAACCUAACACCUUUUGGUUUAGCGGUCGACGGCAGGGACUGUUUCGGUUUGCCUUUCAAAACCGGGCAGUCCGAUAUCACAUGGCCUAUUCGGUGACAGUAAAAACACUUGCGGGCCUCAGGCGAAGGUUUAAUGUCACAGGAUGAGAACCGAGGCGAACAAGACGCUGAUAACGUCGCUGUUCAGCUUUCAGAGCGAAUACGGUUUUGUGGGUUAAGGAAUACUUGUCUGCCAAUACAGCUGCCUGGGACCUCGUCGCCACCUUCUGUUAAUUUAAAUGAACAACAAUAUGGUCAGGAAGGUGGUUUUUGAAUUCCUCCAGCAGGAUUAAUUCCCUAAUUUCUGUGACGGUUGUAGCCUUGCUGGCUGCACACCAGCGAUCAAAUAGAGAUUCCUUGUCUCUAGCAAACUCUACAAAGGUGCGAUUUGAGGGUCUUUUGUAGUUUCUAAAUCGCUGCCUAUAGGCUUCUGGAACCAAUUAAUACACCCUUAGUACUGUUGCCUUUACUAACUCAUACUGCAAACUGUCUUCCAGGGAAAGACCGGCUACCACUUCCUUGGCUUUCCCAGACAAUUUACAUUAGAGGAGGAAAGGCCAAACAUCCUGUGGCCAAUGUAGCGCGGCGGCCACGCGCUCAAAAGCAGAGAAGUAGCUGUCUACUUCGGCCUCCCGAAAGGGUGGCACCAAAGCAAUAUUCUUGCUGACGUCAAACUGGGCCUGCUGACGAGAAGGCUACCCUCACCUUGAGCCUAGCGGCUGCUGAAUCAGAUCCGGAACCACUCGACUGAGGAGACAAUGGGUCAAACUUAGGCGGUGUCAGGGGGGCGCCAACAACUCCCUCCCGUGCACCGUCCUCUGACCGUGCAGGGGAGACAGAAACAACAGCUCCGUUCUCACCAGCCUCCUCUCCGAAGUCCAAGCCCUCGCUUUCCUCAUCCUUUAAGGUCAGAACUGAAAUAUGGUAGUGGGCAGCUAUAGCGAAGAGGUCUGCUUUCCACAGCCCUACCAACUGGCCAACCGAAGGUGAUUCACAGAAACUAGAGAUGGCCGAGUCAGCCAUAUGUACGCACGCCUGCCUACAGACCUAGACCUGGCGAACAACGAGACAGAACACCUAUCUCACGACCACUGCCUCCACACCACAAACACCACAGAGGCACUCAGUGUAGCGGGGUCGUAUGGAUCGUUUGGAUCCCGGACGAGCCCCCACUUAUGUUACGGGCGCCUCCCGGAGGAGAGCGUGCAACACCCCGCUACACGUAAAGUACCCUAUGACUUGACAGAAUGGGUAUGGGGUCGUGGGUGCGAGUAUGGACGACAGAGGCAGGACUACCGUUCACAGGAUUAUUUAUUUAACACAACGGUAAUUCAGGGAAAAGGGGUUGGGCGGAAGCAAAGAACAUAAAAAUAAACCCAAACCCUCUAACCCUACCUUACCUGUCAAACCUAACUAGCACCUCUUGCGCCGGUGCUCUAACCAAACUACAGGGGGUGUUCCCGCCCAGGUCUGACCUAGUGAUCAUACAUCCCCCCUGCUUUCACUUCAUUAAGUCAAUGGAGAGUGACACCAAGAGUGAAAGCAGAAUCAUGGCGAAUACGGCCACAAGAGGAGCCAUUCUGAACUCACACUAAACCCUCAUCAUUUCAGGAUGGAAUUGUAAAAUAGAGAAUUGGUAAUUGGGAUGGAUCUGGAAUCCAUUCGAUAUGGA
ensembl:lncRNA